rnacentral:rRNA from 1 species
UACGAAGGGGGCUAGCGUUGCUCGGAAUCACUGGGCGUAAAGGGUGCGUAGGCGGGUCUUUAAGUCAGGGGUGAAAUCCUGGAGCUCAACUCCAGAACUGCCUUUGAUACUGAGGAUCUUGAGUUCGGGAGAGGUGAGUGGAACUGCGAGUGUAGAGGUGAAAUUCGUAGAUAUUCGCAAGAACACCAGUGGCGAAAGCGGCUCUCUGGCCCGGUUCUGACGCUGAGGCGCGAAAGCGUGGGGAGCAAACAGG